rnacentral:lncRNA from 1 species
CGCCAUGACUCAGGAGAAGCAGCGAUGGCGGACACCCAGUGGCAACGGUGGUUUUCUACAAAUUGAGGACAAGCUCCUCCAUAUCCACAACUUCCACUCACUUGAAGUCCCAUCAUUAGCUCGGCCUGCUGGAGCUCCCACACCAGCCCACAGAAACCACCGUAAGUGUCGCGGGUUGGAGAAGGUCCCGGCACUGGUCAACCUCAGAAGGGAGAAGGGGCAGAAGAAGAGGAGACGUGUAUGUGCCAAGCUCCCUGUUGGGCUUUGUGGCUACAAAGAGGAAAACAACACCAGCCCUGCCUUCUGGGAUCUCCAAGUCCAAGAAGAGAGUCAGAGGCACUGGUAAGCCCUCCAAGAGUGAAUGGUCCAGGUGUCCAUUUUGAGACCAGUAUGGAAGGGUCAAGCUGAGGAAACAGUCUCUUCUGUUGCCAGAUUUGGAGGAUGAGGGAACAAGGAAUAUA